rnacentral:rRNA from 1 species
UACGGAGGAUGCAAGCGUUAUCCGGAAUGAUUGGGCGUAAAGCGUCCGCAGGUGGCAAUGUAAGUCUGCUGUUAAAGAGUCUAGCUCAACUAGAUAAAAGCAGUGGAAACUACAUAGCUAGAGUACGUUCGGGGCAGAGGGAAUUCCUGGUGUAGCGGUGAAAAUGCGUAGAGAUCAGGAAGAACACCAGUGGCGAAGGCGCUCUGCUAGGCCGUAACUGACACUGAGGGACGAAAAGCUAGGGGAGCGAAUGGG